GCCAUGAUGGCACAGUGGUUAAACGUUUGGCUGCUAACCAAAAGAUCGGCGGUUCAAAUCCACCGAUGGCU
rnacentral:tRNA from 1 species